GGGAUUAGCUAGUDGGUGAGGGUAACGGGCUCAMCAWAGGCGACGGAUCCGUAGCUGGKUYUGAGAGGGAUGAUCAGCCCACACUGGAAUKGAGACCACGGCCCCAGACUCCUUACGGGAGGGCAGCAGUGGGGGAAUAUUGGCCCAAUGGGGGGAAACCCCUGAUCGCAGCCAUGCCGCGUGUGUGAAGAAGGCCUUCGGGUUGUAAAGCACUUUCAGCGAGGAAGAAAGCCUGUGGGUUAAUACCCGGCAKGAAGGACAUCACUCGCAGAAGAAGCACCGGCUAACUCCGUGCCAGCAGCCGCGGUAAUACGGAGGGUGCGAGCGUUAAUCGGAAUUACUGGGCGUAAAGCGYGCGYAGGCGGUUUGWUAAGCCGGWUGUGAAAGCCCCGGGCUCAACCUGGGAACGGCAUYYGGAACUGKCARRCUAGAGUGCAGKAGAGGARGGUAGAAUUCCCGGUGUAGCGGUGAAAUGCGUAGAGAUCGGGAGGAAYACCAGUGGCGAAGGCGSCCYCUCUGGAC
rnacentral:rRNA from 1 species